GAUGAACGCUGGCGGUGUGCCUAAUACAUGCAAGUCGAGCGAACAGACGAGGAGCUUACUCCUCUGACGUUAGCGGCGGACGGGUGAGUAACACGUGGAUAACCUACCUAUAAGACUGGGAUAACUUCGGGAAACCGGAGCUAAUACCGGAUAACAUGUUGAACCGCAUGGUUCAACAGUGAAAGACGGUCUUGCUGUCACUUAUAGAUGGAUCCGCGUCGCAUUAGCUAGUUGGUAAGGUAACGGCUUACCAAGGCAACGAUGCGUAGCCGACCUAAGAGGGUGAUCGGCCACACUGGAACUGAGACACGGUCCAGACUCCUACGGGAGGCAGCAGUAGGGAAUCUUCCGCAAUGGGCGAAAGCCUGACGGAGCAACGCCGCGUGAGUGAAGAAGGUCUUCGGAUCGUAAAACUCUGUUAUUAGGGAAGAACAAAUGUGUAAGUAACUAUGCACGUCUUGACGGUACCUAAUCAGAAAGCCACGGCUAACUACGUG
rnacentral:rRNA from 1 species